ensembl:lncRNA
UUACUGUUAGUUUUAUUGUUGCAUUUUGUUGUUGUUGUUAUGGUUUGGUGUUGGUUUUGUUGUGUAUCAUCUGCUGCCAGUAUUGUUGGUAUUGUCUGCUCGCGAUGUAAGGCCGGGGUGGAUGCCACCCCCUAGGUGGGGUGUGUAUGGCAUACCCAUGUCUGAAGCAGGGGUAGCGUUUCUCCCACGUGGUUCCCCAUACACCCGGUCCAGCGACCUGGGAUGAAAACAGCUCGCUGGACCGGGUGUAUGGGGAACCACUUGGGAGAAACGCCACCCAUGCUUCAGGCAUGGGCAUGCCAUACACACCCCACCUAGGGGGUGGCAUCCACCCCGGCCCUACAUUGCGAGCAAACAAUACCAACAAUAAUAGUAGCAGAUAAUACACAAAACAUACCAUAAACAUACAAUAAUACAAAAAACAAACACCAAAAAACAACAACCAACAACAAAGCUGGCCACAUAACAAAACCAACACCAAACCAUAACAAUAACAACAAAAUGCAACAAUAAAACAAACUCCAAACAUAACAACAAAAUGCAACAAUAAAACGAACACAGCAAUAAGACGAACAGUAAACAAUAACAAUAUAAAAAUGCAACAAUCACACAAACACUACACUAACGAUCACAGGAAAGAAAUGUAACCAUGAAACGUGUCCCUAUAAUAAUAGCGAUAAUAUCAGAAAGAUAUGAGGUAGAUAACGAAUGGCAAUCCCCCUCAACCCAUCCCUAGAUGACCACACACUAAGGAUGUGAGGAGGAGUUGACUGGUCGUGUAACAAUAAGCAAUCACACGCAUGGGGUAU